rnacentral:miRNA from 1 species
UUUUUAUUAGUCGCUGGAUAA